rnacentral:rRNA from 1 species
AGCAUAUCAAUAAGCGGAGGAAAAGAAACCAACAGGGAUUGCCCUAGUAACGGCGAGUGAAGCGGCAACAGCUCAAAUUUGAAAUCUGGCGCAAGCCCGAGUUGUAAUUUGUAGAGGAUGCUUCUAGGUAGCGACCGGUCUAAGUUCCUUGGAACAGGACGUCAUAGAGGGUGAGAAUCCCGUAUGUGACCGGCCCGCACCUUCUACGUAGCUCCUUCGACGAGUCGAGUUGUUUGGGAAUGCAGCUCUAAAUGGGAGGUAAAUUUCUUCUAAAGCUAAAUACCGGCCAGAGACCGAUAGCGCACAAGUAGAGUGAUCGAAAGAUGAAAAGCACUUUGGAAAGAGAGUUAAAAAGCACGUGAAAUUGUUGAAAGGGAAGCGCUUACAACCAGACUUCUGGGCGGUGUUCCGCCGGUCUUUUGACCGGUCUACUCGCCGUCCCGAGGCCAACAUCAUCUGGGACCGCUGGAUAAGACCUCAGGAAUGUAGCUCCCCUCGGGGAGUGUUAUAGCCUGUGGUGAUGCAGCGCGUCUCGGGUGAGGUCCGCGCUUCGGCAAGGAUGUUGGCGUAAUGGUUGUCAGCGGCCCGUCUUGAAACACGGACCAAGGAGUCUAACAUCUAUGCGAGUGUUCGGGUGUCAAACCCCUACGCGUAAUGAAAGUGAACGGAGGUGGGAAGGGCAACCUGCACCAUCGACCGAUCCUGAUGUCCUCGGAUGGAUUUGAGUAAGAGCAUAGCUGUUGGGACCCGAAAGAUGGUGAACUAUGCCUGAAUAGGGUGAAGCCAGAGGAAACUCUGGUGGAGGCUCGCAGCGGUUCUGACGUGCAAAUCGAUCGUCAAAUUUGGGUAUAGGGGCGAAAGA